CAGUCGCCGCGGGAAUACAGAGGGUGCAAACGUUGUUCGGAAUUACUGGGCGUAAAGCGAGUGUAGGCGGUUCGGUAAGUCGGAUGUGAAAGCCCCGGGCUCAACCCGGGAAGUGCACUCGAUACUACCAAGCUAGAGUACUGGAGAGGUUGGUGGAAUUCUCGGUGUAGAGGUGAAAUUCGUAGAUAUCGAGAGGAACACCGGUGGCGAAGGCGGCCAACUGGACAGAUACUGACGCUGAGACUCGAAAGCGUGGGGAGCAAACAGGAUUAGAUACCCCGGUAGUCCCUGUCUCUUAUAC
rnacentral:rRNA from 1 species